CUCGAUGGCGCUGCAAAUGUUUCCACCAAUGGAGAAGAUGAAUGAGGGCGCUGCCUUCACUCUGUGAGGCUGAGGUUGCUAAACCGGCGAAGAACCUAGGAAGGCAUCAAAAGUCUGCUCUGCUUGACUCGGUCAGAGAAAGUGAAUGCGAGUGUAGGUUCGAAUGACAAGGCCGAGUUGCUUUCCCCGUCUUCAACCGCUGCAACUUCAUUCUUGUUGCUACAGGUUCGUCUUUGCUGUGGCUUGGAGAGAGAGACAAACACCACAUCUGGAUUCAGAUUUUGUGCAUCUGCGGGUCUUCCUUUCGUUUGUGGGUGAUUGUGCAACUUUUAUGAGAGGAAGAAGAAGAGUCAACGGAAAAGAAGGUGUUUGCAGACGAGGUCGCGUGGCUGACUUGGAGGUCCACUUGUUUCGGGUGUGCGCACCAUGUGUUGCAGGUGGGGUUUUGCUGUGCAAUGCCUUUUGGUCACAGUUUUCCCUUGGUGGUGACGUUGGCGUAGUGCUCACCUUUGUAAUAUGGCUUUGUAACCAAAUCAUUUCUUUAAAGAAAUAAAAUAUUCAUAUCUUGAAUUUGCUAUUUAUUCUUCAAAGUGUUUGUGUUUUUGUUGGUGAUGUGACUGUACUUGAUGUUUUGAAGU